UAUAUCUUGGUGUAUGGUGCACAAUAGCUUUUGAUGCUUAAGGUGACAGUUUAAUUCUGUUAGAUAUAA
rnacentral:tRNA from 1 species